GGGUGAUUGGUCUAGGGGUAUGAUAUUCGCUUCGCAUUUCUCGUCCGAGAAUAUGACUGUGAAAGGUCAUGGGUUCAAUUCCCAUAUCAUCCA